rnacentral:rRNA from 1 species
UGGGUGUGGAAGCGCAGUAAUGCGUUAAGCUAACCAGUACUAAUUGCUCGUGCGGCUUGACCCUA